rnacentral:rRNA from 1 species
GAUGAACGCUGGCGGCGUGCCUAAUACAUGCAAGUCGAGCGAACAGACGAGGAGCUUGCUCCUCUGACGUUAGCGGCGGACGGGUGAGUAACACGUGGAUAACCUACCUAUAAGACUGGGAUAACUUCGGGAAACCGGAGCUAAUACCGGAUAAUAUAUUGAACCGCAUGGUUCAAUAGUGAAAGACGGUUUUGCUGUCACUUAUAGAUGGAUCCGCGCCGGAUUAGCUAGUUGGUAAGGUAACGGCUUACCAAGGCAACGAUGCGUAGCCGACCUGAGAGGGUGAUCGGCCACACUGGAGCUGAGACACGGUCCAGACUCCUACGGGAGGCAGCAGUAGGGAAUCUUCCGCAAUGGGCGAAAGCGUGACGGAGCAACGCCGCGUGAGUGAUGAAGGUCUUCGGAUCGUAAAACUCUGUUAUUAGGGAAGAACAAAUGUGUAAGUAACUAUGCACGUCUUGACGGUACCUAAUCAGAAAGCCACGGCUAACUACGUG